UACGUAGGGUGCGAGCGUUAAUCGGAAUUACUGGGCGUAAAGCGUGCGCAGGCGGUGAGUUAAGUCUGAUGUGAAAGCCCCGGGCUCAACCUGGGAAUGGCAUUGGAAACUGGCUCGCUGGAGUGUGGCAGAGGGGGUGGAAUUCCGCGUGGUAGCAGUGAAAUGCGUAGAGAUGCGGAGGAACACCGAUGGCGAAGGCAGCCCCCUGGGCCAACACUGACGCUCAGGCACGAAAGCGUGGGGAGCAAACAGG
rnacentral:rRNA from 1 species